rnacentral:rRNA from 1 species
UAGUCCACGCAGUAAACGAUGAAUGUUAGUCGUCGGGCAGCUAGUCUAUUCGGUGAUGCAGCUAACGCAUUAAACAUUCCGCCUGGGGAGUACGGUCGCAAGAUUAAAACUCAAAGGAAUAGACGGGGACCCGCACAAGUGGUGGAGCAUGUGGUUUAAUUCGAGCAACGCGCAGAACCUUACCAACCCUUGACAUCCAGUGCCACUUCCAGAGAUGGAACGUUCCCUUCGGGGACGCUGUGACAGGUGCUGCAUGGCUGUCGUCAGCUCGUGUCGUGAGAUGUUCGGUUAAGUCCGGCAACGAGCGCAACCCACGUCUUUAGUUGCCAGCAGUUCGGCUGGGCACUCUAGAGAAACUGCCCGUGAUAAGCGGGAGGAAGGUGUGGAUGACGUCAAGUCCUCAUGGCCCUUACGGGUUGGGCUACACACGUGCUACAAUGGCAGUGACAAUGGGUUAAUCCCAAAAAACUAGUCUCAGUUCGGAUUGGGGUCUGCAACUCGA